CAGCUGAUUUGGAAUCUUAUUUAUUAUUAUUAUUAUUUUAGAGAUGGCAGGGUCUCACUUUGUUGCCUAGGCUGGUCUCAAACUCUAGGCUCAAGCGAUCCUCUUGUCUCAGCCUCCCAAAGCGCUGGGAUUCCAGGCCUGAGCCACCGCUCCCCGCCUGAACUUGGAACAUUAAUUCUACCUGGGGUAAAUCUGCACCUAGAGCAGCGUCUGACUGAAGGGCUGGGAGCGGGGAUGUGAGCACCCGGGGAACAGGGGUCUUGAGGACCCUCUUAGAAUUGUGCCCACAGCAGGGACUGAUAGAGAGAGAGAUGGUUGUGGGAGGGGUAGGGAAGGUCGUGGGGGUGUAUGUAAAGGGAGGCCUGAAACCAAGGGUGGGAGGUCAUUCCAGGCAAAGAGAGUUGUCCGUGAGAGGCCGCAGAGGAGAGCGCGUGGCCUGUGCUAGGAACCGACAGAGUGCUGGAGAUUAAAGGAGUGAAUGAUGUGUGUGGAGUGGCUGGCACUGGUGAGCGGGUGAGGUAAUAAAUAGCAGCAGGGUUAUUAUCCCACUGUCAGAAGGCUGGAGGCUGCCCAACCGCUUCACUCCCGCGCUCCGGGUCUGUCUGCCCAGGGCUUUCUCUCCCUCUCUCUCUGUCUCUGUCUCUCCCUCUCUAUCUCCUCUGUCUUUCUGUCUCUCUUCCCAUCUCUCUGUCUCUCCCUCCCUUUCUCUCCCUCUCUCGCACUGUCUCUCUGUGUGUCUCUUCCUCUCUCUCUCUCCCUCUCUGCCCCCUCUGUCUCCCCCUCUCUGCCCCCUCUCUCCCCCCUUUACUGCCCCCUCUCUCUCUUCCUCUCUGCCCCCUCUGUCUCCCCUUCUCUGCCCCCUCUGCCUCCCCCUCACUGCUCCCUCUGUCUCUCCCUCUCUGCCCCUUCUCUCUCCCCCCUCUACCCCCUCUCUCUCCCCCUCUCUGCCCCCUUUCUCUCUCCGUCUCUGCCCCCUCUCUCUCUCCCUCUCUGCCCCUCUGUCUCUCCCUCUCUGACCCCUCUGUCUCUCUCUCUCUGCCCCUCUGUCUCUCCCUCUCUGUCCCCUCUGUCUCUCGUGAUCUGCCCUCUGACCUCACGAUCCCCCUGACCUCGGGAUCUCUCGUGAUCCCCCUCUGACCUCUCUGCCCUUCUGUCUCUCUCUCUCUGCCCCUCUGUCUCUCUCUGUCUGCCCCCUCUGUCUCUCCCUCUCUGCCCCUCUGUCUCUCCCUGUCUGCCCCUCUGUCUCUCUCCCUCCCACUGUGUGUGACUUUGGGUGGGUCCCUCUCCUCUCCCUGGUUCCUCAUCUGCUUCCAAGACUGCCCCCUCCCUCCCUGAGCCCAAAGAGCCGAUGCCUGGGGAGGGCCCAGCCUGGACUAAGGCCCAGCGGCGGGAGGAGCCUGGGUUGGAGGCCGGGAGCAGUGGGGCGAACGGCAGCAAAUAUUUAUGGAGCCAGGUCUGUGCCAGGCUCAGGGCUGGGUGUGGCGAGAUAAGGGGGCCAGGGGAGGCGCCCGGACUUGGCCUCCAACCCGCUUGCCCCAGGGAGGCCGGGAGCCGGGCAGGGGGAGGUGCCCGGGAAGGAGGGCUGGGCGCUGGGGUCGUGCAGGCAGGGGUCCCCGUGGAGCCUCGGGCCCCUCUGGAGAGUGGUUCACACUUCAUAGGUCAGCUCCAGCCUGGUUGGUAUGAAGCCUUCUCCCACGAAGAAGCCCCGAGCACUCUCGCUGCGGUGGCACCUCCCGGCUGUCCCCGGCUUCCCCUUGGGCACCAGUCUGUGUUUUGUUAAUAGCACCUGAGGUGGAAACAGAUGGGCUUCAAGGAAGCAAGUCACAUGGAAUUGGACCCGAAUGCAGAUUAUCAAAUAAGUAUCUGUGUGUCUACACUGAUACAAAGAAAUACGAGGAUGAGGCCGGGAGUGUUGGCUCACGCCUGUAAUCCCAGCACUUUGAGAGGCCGAGGCGGGAGCAUCACCUGAGGUCAGGAGUUCCAGACCAGCCUGGCCAACAUAGUGAGAUCCCUGUCUCUACUAAAAGUACAAAAAUUAGCCGGGCGUGGUGUUGCGCGCCUGUAAUCCCAGCUACUCGGGAAGCUGAGGCAAGAGAAUCACUUGAAUCCAGGAGGCGGAGGUUGCAAUGAGCCGAGAUCGCACCACUGCACUCCAACCUGGGCGACAGAGCGAGACUUGAAAGAACGAAAGAAAGAAGGAAGGGAGGAAAGAAGGAAGGAAGGAAGGGAGGGAGGGGGAAAGGGAAAGAAAGAAAGAGGCAGAUGAGCGAGUUAGCAGGAAAAGGUGAAGGAACACAUCUCUCUUACAGAAUAAAAUUUUUUUUUUUGAGACAGAGUCCUGCUCUAUCCCCCAGGCUGGAGUGCAGUGGCACGAUCACUGCAACCACUGCCUCCUGGGUUCAAGCAAUUCUCCUGCCGCAGCCUCCCGAGUAGCUGGGAUAACAGGUACGCGCCAAUGUGCCCAGCUAAUGUUUUUUUUUUUUUUUGACACAGAGUCUCACUCUGUUGCCCAGGCUGGAGUGCGGUGGCGCGAUCUCGGCUCACUGCAAGCUCCGCCUCCAGGGUUCAAGUGAUUCUCCUGCCUCAGCCUCCCCAGUAGCUGGGACUACAGGUGCCCGCCACCACACCUGGGUAAUUGUUUAUAUUUUUAGUAGAGACAGGAUUUCACCGUGUCAGCCAGGAUGGUCUCAGUCUCCUGACCUCGUGAUCCACCCGCCUUGGCCUCCGACAGUGCUGGGAUUACAGGCGUGAGCCACCGCGCCCGGCUGUAUUCUUAAGAACUGUCUAUCUACUCCCCCAUUCUGAAGAAGGGAGCUUAAUUCCCCCACAGCCCAAAUGCCCCGUGGGCUGCACUCGGCGGCUUGUUUACAAAGACUAGAUGAAUGGAAAGGAAGGGGGGUCACAUACAGUGGGGAGAGCUGGCAAACACCACCCCUGCCAGGUGACCAGGGUGGUCAAGCAUGGGUGAGCAGACAUGAGAACACGCACCUCCUGAUAGGAGGCGAAGAGAAGGGAUUUUUUUUUUCAUACUAAAAAAAUUUUUUUGGCUGGGCGUGGUGGCUCAUGCCUGUAAUCCCAGCACUUUGGGAGGCCAAGGUGGGUGGAUCACCUGAGGUCAAGAGUUCAAGACCAACCUGGUCAACAUGGUGAAACCCCAUCUCUACUAAAGAUUAAAAAAUUAGCUGGGCAUGGUGGCGCACGCCUGUAAUCCCAGCUACUUGGGAGGCUGAGGCAGGGGAAUCGCUUGAACCUGGAAGGCGGAGGUCGUAGUGAGCUGAGAUCAUGCUACUGCACUGCAGCCUGGACAACAAGAGUAAAACUCCAUCUCAAUUUAAAAAAAAUGUUUUUUGAAGAGAAAGGGUCUCACUGGGUUGCCCAGAAUGGUUCUCUAACUCCUGGGUUCAAGCGAUCCUCCCUCCUCAGCUUACCAGAUAGCUGGAACUAUAGGUGUAUGCCACCAGGCCUGGCUAAUUUUUAAUUUUUAAUUUUUUUUUAGAGGUGGUGUCUUGCUAUGUUGCCCAGGCUGGUCUCAAACUCCUGGCCUCAAGCAAUCCACCCACCUCAGCCUCCCAAAGUGCUGGGAUUACAGGUGUGAGCCACCUUGCUUGGCCCAGAGGGGCAUUUUGUGUGUGUAACUGUCGUCCUAGCUACACGGGAGGCUGAGGCAGGAGAACCACUUGAGCCCAGGGGUUGGAGGUUACAGUGAGCCAGGAUCACACCACUGCACUCCUGCCUGGGCAACAGAGCGAGACUCCAUCUCAAAAAAAAGAGGUUUUUUUUUUUUUGCGUUUUUGUUAUUUAUUGAUUGAUUUAUGUAUUAGUUCAUCAGCUGUUAGUGUAUUUUAUGUGUGACCUGAGAUAAUUCUUCCAAUGUGGGCCAGGGAAGCCACAAGAUUGGACACCCCUGCCCUGCAGGCUUCAGAGGCAGUGUGGCCCUGCCGACACCUUGACCCCAGACUUGCAGCCCCAGAUCCCUGGGACAGCACACUUCCGUGCUCUGCUUUGCCAGGACUGCUCUAAACUGUCAAAGUCAUCAGAACGAGGCAAGUCUGAGAAACAGUGGCAGACAGUAAGAGAUUAAGGAGGCAUGACGGUGAGACGCCAUGUGGUAUCCUGGGUGGGAUCCUGAAUGGAAAAAGGUCGUUCGUGACAUCUGAGUAAAGGGCAGAGUUUUGUGCUGUACUAGUGUUUGCUUCUUGGUUUUGACAGACGUGCCAUGGUAAUGGGAGACGAGAACAUUUGGGGAAAUUGGGUGAGGGGUCUGUAGCAAGUCUACUAUCACUCACUGCAGCUCUACUAUCCCGUCUUAAAUGUUUCUAAACAAAAAAGUUUAUGUAAGAAAGAAAACCAGGUGGGCUUAUGGGUACUUUUGCCACACUCCCCACCAGGCUAUUCACACAGAAGCCAGGGAGAAUCUGUCAUACCAGGAGAGGGGAGUUUGUGUUAUUCAGGUGUAUGUCUUUGUCCAAAUGUAUCAAAUGGUAACUUGGGAAAUGUGGCAUUUCACUGUAUUUUAAUUUUACUAAUGACAAGAAGCUUAAAUAUUUGAUAUCUUGUUAUGUUAUGCAUGCUAAUAAAACAUCAAACAAAAAAGAAAAAGUUUUUUAAAAACCAAAAAAAAAUGUUAUGCAUGCUGAAGUGUUUAGGAGUGAACUGAUAUGUUGCUUUGAGAAUUGCAAGUUGCAUAGAGAAAGAUGAAUAUAUGAGAACUCUCUGUGCUUUCUGUUCAAUUUUGCUAUGAACCUACAACUUCUCUAAAAAAUAAAAUGUAUUAAUUUUAUAAAGAUGGAUGAUGGAUGAAUCAAUGAUGGAUAGAUGGAUGGAUGAUGCAUGAAUGGAUAGGUGAAUGGAUGGAUGGAUGAUGGAUGGAUGAAUGGAUGGUUGGAUGAAUGGGUGAAUGGAUGGAUGGAUGAUGGAUGGAUGAAUGGAUGAAUGGGUGAAUCAAUUGAUGAAUGAAUAGAUGGAUGGAUGGGCAGAUGGGCAGAUGGAUAAAUGAAUGAAUGAAUGGAUGGGUGAAUGGAUAGAUGGAUAGGUGAAUGGAUGAUGGAUGAAUGAAUAGAUAAUGGAUGAUGGAUGAAUGGGUGGAUGGAUGGAUGGAUGGAUGGAUGGAUGGAUGGAUGGAUGAAUGGGUGGCUAAAUGGAUAGAUGCAUAGAUGGAUGGAUGAUGGAUGGAUAGGUGAAUGGAUGGUGGAUGAAUGGGUGGAUGGGUGAAUGAAUGGAUGGAUGGUUGGGUAAAUGGUUGGAUGAGUGAGUAGAUAGAUGGAUGGAUGAUGGAUGAGUGAAUGGAUAAAUAGAUGGGUAAAUGAUGGAUGGAUGGGUGGAUGAAUAGAUGAAUAGAUGGAUGGAUUAUGGAUGGAUGUAUAGAUGGAUGGCUGAUGGAUAAAUGGGUGAAUGGAUGAAUGGAUAAUGGAUGGAUGGAUGGGUGUAUGGAAGGAUGGAUGGAUGUGGGAAUGGAUGGGUUCAUGGAUGGAUGGAUGAAUGUAGAGAAUGGGUACAUAGACAUUCGCUGCACAAUUAUUUUUAUUUCCUUAUGUUUUUAUAUUUUUAUAAUGACACGCUAAAAGGAAAAAGGAACGUCGAAUCCUGUCAGCCUCUGCAUGAAUUCCUCCAAGAUUUCCAUCUCAUUUUGAUCAGAAAUUGGGUUCUCAUGACUCUCUACCCAAUCUGGUACCCCAUCACCUCCUUGAUCUCCUCUCCCAUUGCUCCCUCCUUUGCUCACUCCUCUCCAGCCACAUUGGCCCCUCUGCUCCUUGAACACUCCAGCUAUGUCCCCUCCUCAGAACUUUUGCAUCAGAUGUGCCCUUCCUCUGGGACACAUCCCAGUUAUCUGCACUGCUCUCUCGUUCAGCUCUUGGCCUACACAACUGAAGUUCCUACAUGCCCUGUCUUGCAUUGUCUUUCUCCAUAGCAUUUCUCUUUCUCUAAGACGUUUUAUAAUUUACUUUCUUGCUAUGUUUUCUUGCCUGACUUCCCUCACUAGAAUGGAAGCCCCACCUAAAGAGGGAUUCAUCUAUUUUGUUAACCAAUGAAUAAGCUGCACCUUGGACAGUGCCUGGCACAUAGUAGAGGCUCAGUAAUGAGUUUUAGGAUGAGUGAAUGGAAGACUGAAUGAGGCCGGGCGCAGUGGCUCACGCCUUUAAUCCCAGCACUUUUGGAGGCUGAGGCGGACAGAUCACCUGAGGUCAGGAGUUCGAGAACAGCCUGGCCAACAUGGUGAAACCUCAUCUCUACUAAAAAUAAAAAAAUUAGCCGGGAGUGGUGGCACAUGCC
rnacentral:lncRNA from 1 species